UAGUCCGCACCGUAAACGAUGCUCACUCGUUGUUGGCGAUAGACAGUCAGCGACCAAGCGAAAGCGAUAAGUAUCCCACCUGGGGAGUACGUUCGCAAGAAUGAAACUCAAAGGAAUUGACGGGGGCCCGCACAAGCGGUGGAGCAUGUGGUUUAAUUCGAUGAUACGCGAGGAACCUUACCAGGGCUUAAAUGCAUAUUGACAGGGGUAGAGAUACCUUUUCCUCCGGGCAAUCUGCAAGGUGCUGCAUGGUUGUCGUCAGCUCGUGUCGUGAGAUGUUGGGUUAAGUCCCGUAACGAGCGCAACCCUUGUCCUUAUUUGCCAGCGGGUCAUGCCGGGAACUUUAAGGAGACUGCCGGUGAUAAACCGGAGGAAGGUGGGGACGAUGUCAAGUCAUCAUGGCCUUUAUGAGUAGGGCUACACACGUGCUACAAUGGGCGGUACAAAGGGUUGCCAAACCGUGAGGUGGAGCUAAUCUCAAAAAACCGUUCUCAGUCCGGAUUGGAGU
rnacentral:rRNA from 1 species